AUACAGAUCACCUGGGGAUCUUGUUAAAUUGCUGAUUCUGAUUCAGUACAUCAGGUGUGGUCUUAGAGGCUGCAUGUCUAACAAGCUCCCAGGUGAUGCCAAU
rnacentral:pre_miRNA from 1 species